UACGGGGGGGGCAAGCGUUGUUCGGAAUUACUGGGCGUAAAGGGCUCGUAGGUGGCCAACUAAGUCAUACGUGAAAUCCCUCGGCUUAACCGGGGAACGGCGUCUGAUACUGGAUGGCUUGAGUUUGGGAGAGGGAUGCGGAAUUCCAGGUGUAGCGGUGAAAUGCGCAGAUAUCAGGAGGAACACCGAUGGCGAAGGCAGGUCUCUGGGCAUUAACUGACGCUGAGAAGCGAAAGCAUGGGGAGCGAACAGG
rnacentral:rRNA from 1 species